rnacentral:rRNA from 1 species
UAGCUAGUUGGUGAGGUAACGGCUUACCAAGGCGACGAUCUGUAGCGGGCCUGAGAGGAUGAUCCGCCACACUGGAACUGAGACACGGUCCAGACUCCUACGGGAGGCAGCAGUGGGGAAUUUUGGACAAUGGGGGCAACCCUGAUCCAGCCAUGCCGCGUGAGUGAAGAAGGCCUUCGGGUUGUAAAGCUCUUUCGGCCGGGAAGAAAUCGCAUGGGCCAAUACCCUGUGUGGAUGACGGUACCGGAAUAAGAAGCACCGGCUAACUACGUGCCAGCAGCCGCGGUAAUACGUAGGGUGCGGGCGUUAAUCGGAAUUACUGGGCGUAAAGCGUGCGCAGGCGGUUUUGUAAGACAGGCGUGAAAUCCCCGGGCUCAACCUGGGAACUGCGUUUGUGACUGCAAGGCUAGAGUACGGCAGAGGGGGGUGGAAUUCCACGUUUAGCAGUGAAAUGCGUAGAGAUGUGGAGGAACACCAAUGGCGAAGGCAGCCCCCUGGGUCGAUACUGACGCUCAUGCACGAAAGCGUGGGUAGCAAACAGGAUUAGAUACCCUGGUAGUCCACGCCCUAAACUAUGUCAACUAGGUGUUGGGUGGGUAAAACCAUUUAGUACCGUAGCUAACGCGUGAAGUUGACCGCCUGGGGAGUACGGCCGCAAGGUUAAAACUCAAAGGAAUUGACGGGGACCCGCACAAGCGGUGGAUGAUGUGGAUUAAUUCGAUGCAACGCGAAAAACCUUACCUACCCUUGACAUGCCAGGAACUUGCCAGAGAUGGCUUGGUGCCCGAAAGGGAGCCUGGACACAGGUGCUGCAUGGCUGUCGUCAGCUCGUGUCGUGAGAUGUUGGGUUAAGUCCCGCAACGAGCGCAACCCUUGUCGUUAAUUGCCAUCAUUUAGUUGGGCACUUUAGCGAGACUGCCGGUGACAAACCGGAGGAAGGUGGGGAUGACGUCAAGUCCUCAUGGCCCUUAUGGGUAGGGCUUCACACGUCAUACAAUGGUCGGUACAGAGGGUCGCCAAGCCGCGAGGUGGAGCCAAUCCCAGAAAGCCGAUCGUAGUCCGGAUUGCAGGCUGCAACUCGCCUGCAUGAAGUCGGAAUCGCUAGUAAUCGUGGAUCAGCAUGUCACGGUGAAUACGUUCCCGGGUCUUGUACACACCGCCCGUCACACCAUGGGAGCGGGUUCCGCCAGAAGUAGGUAGCCUAACCGCAAGGAGGGCGCUUACCACGGCGGGGUUCGUGACUGGGGUGAAGUCGUAACAAGGUAGCCGUAGGGGACCUGCGGCUG